UUCCCCCGCGUCGCCCUCUCUCCUUCUUUUUCCGAUUUCUUCACCGUCCGGCGUCCGAUUGACGUGAUUCCAGUUGUCCUUGGACCGUCUCUUCCUCCUCUACACGAUGGUACCAGUGGGUAUCGGCGAUUCGGCCGGCAAACCCCGAAUUUAUGCAAGCAUUGUUACUGUAGCAGUUUGUUUCUCCGGCGAAAUUCUCCAGUUUCCGGCUAUCUUCGGCGGUGAAAUUGGCUCUAUUAGGAGCGCCUCGGGUCACUGAUCAUCUUCCCUCAAGACUUCUAGUUGGAAUUUCCACGUUUGGAAGGUGAAUUUGAAGGAUUUCCAAAUUUGUGGGUUUGGAGAUUUCCGGGUUUGUGUUCAUCGGCAAAAUUGGAGCAUUUCAAGGGCGAUAUACCGAACUAUUGCUCGAUGAAGGAACUCGUAUGCGUGAUCGCCUAAAUAGUACUUUUGCAGGCCAGUUUAGCUUGAGGUCGAGCGUACUUGGGGUUGAGGCAUAGCUGUCAUAGCUUCCGCAUUAUAAAAGCAUCGGUCAUUUAUCUUGCUUUCUAUUCUCUUGUUCGCCUGUACAUUAGAUUGCUCUGAUAACCUAUGAGAUUAAUAUUCUUAAAUUCAGAAUUGUUUAUGAAAUGAGAUAUGUGAGAUGUUGUGAUAUAGGGAGCAGGGUGGCUCCAGGAGAAUAAGGAUGGAUGAUUUAGAAGUGUGGAUGUUUUUCUACAGGUUUUGGGUUGUCCAUUUUUAGGGGAAGUUCUGUCAAAUUUUUGGUAGAAUUUCUUCUAAAGUGGGCCCCGCAGGGCCUCUUCGGAUUUCAGGGUGAAAUCCGGGGCGGGUCCUGUCAUUUGACUCCGAUUGUAACGACUCUGGUUGCAGCCCGGGACCGGAGAUACAAUCAAGUUGCGAUUUCCGAGAUGAUCAGUCGCCGGCGAGAGAGACAGAAGCAAAUCGAAUACGUACCCGAUUCUACUGGCGGUCGUAGAUUCCUUCAGAAGGUCCAACCCGGCCUCGCCGAGCUUCUCAGCGACGAGGACCGUCGGUUUGGCGUCGAGCCUGGCCGCGAAGAGCACGACGACGAGUUUCGGCGCGGCGAUGGUGAGAGCCGGCGUCGUGGGCGACCAGCUGGAGGGAUGGAGGGAGGGAGAGAGAGAUCCGACGUCGUCUGGAGAGAGAGAGAGAGAGAGAUAGAGAAAUCAGUGAGGGGGGGAGGAGAGAGAAAUCGGUGGGGGAGAGAGAGAGACUGAGAGGAGAGAGAUUGAUCAGGGCAAAACAGUCCAAAAAUAUGAAGAAAACAGGUCCAACUCUUAGAGUUUUGGGUAAGUGGAGUUUAAAAAUAAAAAUUGUUGUGUAAGUGGGCAAUCUCUUAGAGUGUUUGGGUAAAUGGGGUUAAUUAACCCCAAAAUUGGGUAAAUGAUCAUUUCCCCAAAAAUUAAUUCCAGAAUUUAAUUUCCAAUAUGUUCCAAACACCCACAUGGAAAUUCCAAAACCUAUUCCAUUCCAUAUCAGUUUGGAAAGGAAAAUAAAUCAUUUUCCUGUUUCGACAUUCCGGCCAACCGAACGGGGCAUUAAGGAAAACUAUGGUCUAGAGUACCUGAGAAGGACUUAGAUACAGGAAUUAUCAUCUAGAGAAACACAAGAAUCUGUUAAUUGCAUUGAAACAUAAAUAAGAUUGUUAGUGGUUGAUUCUGAAACCUUAGGUUUUAUCAUUAUUUGUUUGUUUCUUUCUUUCUUUAAUUUUCACAUUAUUUGUUUAGUCGAAAACCUUAAAACCAUAUCUUCUUUAGUUUGAUUGUUUAUGUGUUUGGAUUAAUUAGGUUAGGAUUUAAAUUAAUUAUCAAUCCUCUGUUGGAACGACCCCGUACUUGCACACUAUACUGUAAUCUGUACCAUCAACAGACGGUACCGCAGCACACAGUUAAAUUCCAAGGUUUCUUGAAUGAUAGAUUAGUUCGUUCCAGUAUAAACCUUAGCUAAAACAUUCCCUUGUUACCACCAUAAUAUCAUUUUUUUUUUUAUUGGAACCAUAGUAUCCUAUGGAAUAGAGAAUGUAGUGAAACAAAUAGAUCAAUAGAUUCAGAUCAGAUGAAUUGAUAAUAGAAUUGUAUCAUCUAAUUGGUUCCUAAGAGAAAGUGUGGAACUACUAGCUCUAACCUCGUAAGUCAUGCUAUCAGGGUCAAUGUUGUCUUCCAAAAUAACCUGCAUAUUUCACAGCACAAAAGCUUCUAUUUAUUAACAUUUUAAACUAUCGUGAUGCUUCUUAGAUAAACACAAACUUAUAAAAUAGUUUUAAGGCAACACUACAACAAAUAUGGCCUAUAGAUACCAUUCAAUCCCCACAAUUACAUCAAUGGUGACAGCACCCAAAAAAUACUCACCAUUCCUUUUUUUUCUUUGGUCCGACACUCACCAAAGCCCACAAACGUGUCCCUGCAAUCUAAAACAAAUAUUUGUCUAACUAUUCACAACUCACCAAACGCGUCUUUGUGUAUAUCAAUCAAGGGCAAAGCCCUCUCCUCAGAAACAAAACGCUAAUUCCUGUUUGGAUCUCUCUCUCUCGUCCUCCUUCUCCUUCCUGUAUCUCUCGAUCUCUCAAUCAUGAACAAGGUAGUAGAUCCAAAAUCCAUGCAGAUCCCCCACUAUCGAUUUUGGAUCUGCUCCGAUGGUGAAGUUUCUGCUGGAGCAUUUGGAGAAAUCUGGGUGUGGGAUAUUAGACGGGUCUUGCUGGGCCGUUCAUUGCGAGAAGAAGAUUGCCGGAGUAUACACCCGCCGCGGAUGGAAAAGCUCAUUUCUUUACUAGUUUUUCAGUGUUGUUCAUCACUAUUGGCUUCUUUCAUGUUGGUUAUCCAAGAUCUUCUGGUAUACUGGUAUCUGACCGCCCAUAUAUUCUUUUCAGAUACAUGCAUAUUUCAGUUCCAGGCAAUCAGUACAGGAUAUUUGCAAACUCUAGUAAUAAUGGAACCAGUGAGCAACCUCUUGGUAUAUUACCUCAUCAAAUCCGUGGUUCCCUUGGACAGUUUUCGGAGAUGACACUUGUGGGCCACUCCUCAGACAGUUUUGCACGACUUGCUGCAGCGCGCAUUAAACUGAGGCUUUGUAAUAUAACAAAGGAGGAGUAGGAUAAGGGCCUCUGAAGAAUUAUUAUUCUCUGUGGACAUGGCAGCUUGGAGACUCUCCUCCUUACUCUCCCACUCUCUCUCUGCUGGGUCUGCUUCUAAGCUUCUCUCUCAAGGUGCAGGCAAAUGGUAUGGCAGCAUACUUUGUGACAUUGACUACAUAUCUUGGCCUUUGGUGUGGCAGAAUAUUACUUGCGUGACAUACUUUCUCCACCAAAUGGUAUGGCAGAAUAUUACUUUGCUUGACAGUUUCUUCUGGAUAUCAGACGUAUAUAAGUCAUCCAUGGAGGAGAAGAGGAAAUUGCAGAUACCAUGCCUAGAAUUAAGGCUGCCAAGAAUUGUUCUUUUCAGAGAAUUGAAUUUGUAUAUUAAUUUUAAUUUUUUUUUAAUAUGAAAUAUUGCAGUCACCAUUGCUAGAAUAGUGUGUUUUCUGGUCAUGGGGCCCACAGUUUGAAAGUCACCAAAAAAUAUGAUAGUGCCUUUUUGAGUCUUUGUCACGCCAGCAAUGGCAACCCUUCAAAUUUUGGUGUCUAAGAUGGUGGCUAUUGCCAUUACACACCAAUCAUAUUUGUCUUUUACUUCAAUCCACACCGUUGUGAAUGGUGUUUAUAGCUCA